rnacentral:tRNA from 1 species
GGGCUCGUAGCUCAACUGGUUAGAGCACUUGGCUGGCAGUCAAGGGGUUGGGAGUUCGAAUCUCCUCGAGUCCACCC